rnacentral:rRNA from 1 species
GACCGGAGUGGACGCACCACUGGUGUUCCGGUUGUGUCGCCAGACGCAUUGCCGGGUAGCUAAGUGCGGAAGAGAUAAGUGCUGAAAGCAUCUAAGCACGAAACUUGCCAAGAGAUGAGUUCUCCCACACAUCAAGUGUGUAAGGGUUGUUUAAGACUAAGACGUAGAUAGGCAGGGUGUGUAAGUGAUGUGAGUCAUUGAGCUAACCUGUACUAAUUGCCCGAGAGGCUUAACUAUACAACGCUCAAG